rnacentral:hammerhead_ribozyme from 1 species
AUCCGGCUGACGAGUCCCAAAAUGGGACGAAACGUGCAUCCUGGAU